AGAUGUUUUACUGAUGAAUAAUGAUUCAAUUAUAUAACUUAACUAUAAUAUCUGCUAAUGGGAGUGAAGUGCAGAGUGAAAGAGGCAUCAUAGGCCGGUAUAUGUGAAAUGUGAAUUAAUUCAAACAAUGUAGAGAACAUUGGAGACUUCUGCAGUAUUUUUGUGAGUGUUAUAUGUGCCUCAUUUUAAUUGCUUGAUGUUAUUCUGCCAAGCUGCAUGAAAUUAAAUAAAAGGAAACUUACAAUGGAACAAACAGGAAAUGAAAUAAUAAGUGGAGUAAGAUGUCUCUGGAGAGAAUGGCAAGGGAUUUGCAGUAAUAUUUGAGAAGUUAUUAGAUGUGAGAGUCCCACCCCUGUGCUCCAGCAGCCUUGUUUUUCUCACACCCAUAUAAAACUACAUAAACUACAACGUGGAGAGAAGUGAAGGUGGGAAAGGCUGCAUGCAUGAGCAGCAGAGGCUGGAUGCAGAGGCAUUUGGAGUGGGAUACAGAAGCAAUGUUAUGUUAUACUUCUUCCUUCCCUCUCUCUGCACCCCUCACCACAGCGAGUUUGGAUUGGAUGGGACAUAGCCACAACAACUGAAGAAAUGAUAAUUUGUGAAUAUUUGAGUCAAUUAAGUGUUGGUGUCCUACAGUGUUUUCUCCACCUAUUCACUGAAGUUGGUGCCCAUCAUCCAUCACUCCCCAGUUGCCCUUAUACUUGAGUACGUCUCAUUGUCCUCUGGCUGCUCUCCAUUAUUUGCAGCCUCCUCAUUCAUCCCUGAAAUCACUGAGCAGUACUCCAGCUCUGCCUCCAUGAAUUCUUUGAGCCCUGUGCUGUAGGUGGUUGAACUCAUGCUAGGCUCAGAAUUUACUGGAGGAGCACUGUCAGACUGCAUGGUCUGUGUUUCAGCCAUAUGACAUUAGUCUGGGAGGGAGGCUAGUUUUGGCUAACUUGAUAUAUUGUGGGCAAGAUCUUCUUGCUGUGCAAUCACCAGCAGCAAUAAAGGCUUUUCUGGUUCCAUCUUCUGUACAGUGCAGGUGCUGCUGUCAUCGUUAGGGCUUGUUAAGCUGUUUCCUCUAGUGCUGCUUCACCUCUAGCCUUGCCAUCAAAAAUGGAAGCAUUUGCAUAGGCUACUUAUCAUUACAUUUACUGAUACACUGCCACCAAAUGGGAGAAAUUUGUCCCUUCAUAAAUGGAAUUUUAGCAUAAUAUGCAUUGGCCAGUCUUAGUAGUUCUCUACUGUAUAGGCUUUGCAGUGCUGCAGUUUGGUCAAAGCAGUGUUUUCAGCAUGUUACUGUGAUUUCAAGUAUACAGAAAGAACAAGUCUGCUGGCUACCAGGCUGGAUGAUACUGUUAAGUUUUUUGAACACAAUGUUUACAUCUUAGCCAAUGUACCUUUUUUUUUCUUUUUUUUCCCCCACUUAAUACAAUGGAGUUAGCAUUUUUGCUGACUGUGGCUCCCACUGGAGCUGAUUGAGCUGGUAUUUCUGUUCUCUAAGCCUUCUGUUUGUGGUUUCCAUAAAGUUGAAAGUAGUUCUUGGUGCUGAUUAUGUUUUUUUCCUGCCCUAAAAUUUCAUCCCAAUUUCAUCUGUACCAGAUAACCCUUCUUGGGUUUAUUGAAUCUUUUCCAAAAUUAAAAAGAAAGCAUUCUCUGAAGUUUUCUUAAUUUGAAAUGGUCUGUGAUAUUUCUGCUAGAGUAAACACCUUUUGCUCUACAUGUAGUCAGUUUUUUGGAGUGAGUUUGAUAUGGGACUCAGGGCAUCAAAGCCAUUUGGCUUAUUGAACUGUAAGAUGGGAAUACUCUUUUUCUGUCAGGCCUGUGAGCUCCCUCCUGGUAAGCCGUAGUAAACUCCUAAAAAUUAGUACUGAAAUUUUUCAUGCCAUCUGCCUUUUUAUUUGAUGUCUCUUUAAAAUGUUUGGGGUUAUUUUUAAAAAUGAAUAUGUGGGAAAACAUGCAUUGUUUUGUCACUUGAAAAAGCCCCUUCUGUCAUGGGCUUUGCAGGAUAGGUUUGGCAGAAGUUGGCAUUUUUAGAGGAAAAUGCUCUGCUGCUUUUAUUUAAUUCUUGCCAAGUUUAGAAGUCUCUGAAAAAUAUGUGUCAGUAAUAAAAUUCUGAAAGCUUGCCUGUCAUCUCUGUGCAAUUAAGCAGCGGAUGUCCCAUCCUCGCUGAGCAAGCAAGAAUGCUGCAGCCCAGGGUUAUUGUGUGUUUGAACAGACCUCCCUAAGCAGCUCCUUGUUGCUGCAGGCUGAGGUUAAACUGCAUCCUGAAACAGAAAAGGAGCUUCUGCCUCCAACGUACCUGGUGACCAGCAGGUUCUUUAAAUGCAGAUGAAAUACAAGCCAGGCUGUGUCAGGAGGUGGAAAGAGGGGAAAGGAAGGUGGCAAGGAGGGAUUUGGACACGGGCCCUGGUGACUCAGGGUGGGAAAGGGAGGGAAUUUGCCUUGGAAGAUAGGAGUUCUACUGGAAGAUGCUGUCGUUGCUCAGAGAUGUCUCUGAACAUCUUUUCAGGUCCUCAAACCUUAUCCUUCCCUGGCUUCUAUAAAGAGCUACGCAAGCAUGAGAAAAGGAUCCCUGUGAGAGCCUAAAGUCUGCCUUUGGAGCAGGGCUUGGGUACCAGGUUUUGCACAUUGAUUUCUGCUGGUCUGCACAACACAACCACUGCCACCACAUGUGCACUUUUGAGUUCUGUUAUGCAGAGAUUAGUGUCUGUUGGCACUGAGAUUGAGACAGUAUUUACACUUUUUGUCCUGUAAAAUGUUCAUGUGUACCUUAUUUGAGCUUUGAUUUUAUAUAUAUUUACUCCAUUCUUUCAUUGUUUUGGGAAAACAUGUUGUUUUUAGUAGAUGUAAAUCUGAGACAUGAUUUAAAUGGGAUGAAAGUUAUUCAAAAUAGGAAUUGUCUCGAGGUUUUUUUUCUUAUGUCUUCAAAUAUUAAUUCUUUGAUUAAUAUUUUAUGUGAUUGAAUUUGUAGUAUGAAUUUUACCAGUUCCAUACAGGAGGCAGCAAUUACAAAUUGUGUGAUCUAACAGCUCAACAGAUCGAACAGCUUUGAAUUCCCCCUGCACUGCUGUGUUAGACAUCAGUUUCACAGAUUGUCCUCAUGGAUCCUGCCCACCUGCUAAGCCUCACUGCUUUAUCCACGGCUGCAUCAUUUCUAACCAUGUCUGGUAAAGACUUGAGGCUUCACUGGGGCUCCUGCCAGGAGCCAUAUGUACACCUAAUAAGUCACAGUUACAGUCCUGGAGGGCUUGCCAUCUGAAUGGAGAAAGACACAGCAGAACCUGGAUUUCUGGAGGUUGAAGACCUAAGUCUGCUGCAGAAAACUUGUGGUCUUCUUCAGAAGGCUCAGUAUAGUGCGAUUCACCUCAAGCCUCUGGCCAGCGUCAGGGCCCUUCUCCAAAACGGUUCUGAAAGCAACAACAGUUCCCUUGGCUGCACUUUCCUGGUCUCAUGAUGGAACCACACAUAGUUUGGAAUCAUCCUGCACUCACAGUUCCUACAGGCACGGCAUCUUGCACUGCUAAAUCUGGUUUUGGGUUCAUUGUCAUGCUUUUCUUCCCUUCUGUUGCUCAACUCUGUCCUUAAAGACCACUUUGAAGGAACUUACUUAAUAAUGAGCUUUCUGCCUGGUAAUUUCCCCUUGCUCUUGUUUAUCCUUUAAGUAGUUUAUCUGAUUUAUACAUCUUAUACUUUUGCUGACUAUUCCCACUUUUUCCAGUUUAGCCUAUGUAGUAUGCCAAAUGAUUUAUUAAAAUCCAAACAGAUUGCAUUCACAUUUUUUGUGAGAAUAAAAUAGAAAAGAGACAUUUUG